rnacentral:rRNA from 1 species
UGGAGAGUUUGAUCCUGGCUCAGAGUGAACGCUGGCGGUAGGCCUAACACAUGCAAGUCGAACGGCAGCACAGGAGAGCUUGCUCUCUGGGGGGGGAGUGGCGGACGGGUCAGGAAUACAUCGGAAUCUACCUUUUAGUGGGGGAUAACGUAGGGAAACUUACGCUAAUACCGCAUACGACCUACGGGUCAAAGUGGGGGGCCGCAAGGCCUCAUGCGAUUAGAUGAGCCGAUGUUUGAUUAGCUAGUUGGCGGGGUAAUGGCCCUCCAAGGCGGCGAUCCGUAGCUGGUCUGAGAGGAUGAUCAGCCACACUGGAACUGAGACACGGUCCAGACUCCUACGGGAGGCAGCAGUGGGGAAUAUUGGGCAAUGGGGCCAAGCCUGAUCCAGCCAUACCGCGUGGGUCAAGAAGGCCUCCGGGUUGUAAAGCCCGUUUUUUGUUAAAGAAAUCAUCUCUUUUAA